rnacentral:rRNA from 1 species
GAUGAACGCUGGCGGCGUGCUUAACACAUGCAAGUCGAACGAGAAGUGAAGACGGAACCCUUCGGGCGGAAGGCUUUAUUUCGAGUGGCGGACGGGUGAGUAACGCGUGGGUAACCUGCCUCAUACAGGGGGAUAACAGUUGGAAACGACUGUUAAUACCGCAUAAGACCACAGCACCGCAUGGUGCGGGGGUAAAAACUCCGGUGGUAUGAGAUGGACCCGCGUUCGAUUAGCCAGUUGGCGGGGUAACGGCCCACCAAAGCGACGAUCGAUAGCCGAUCUGAGAGGAUGACCGGCCACAGUGGGACUGAGACACGGCCCAAACUCCUACGGGAGGCAGCAGUGGGGAAUAUUGCACAAUGGGGGAAACCCUGAUGCAGCGACGCCGCGUGAGUGAAGAAGUAUUUCGGUAUGUAAAGCUCUAUCAGCGGGGAAGAAAAUGACGGUACCUGAGUAAGAAGCCCCGGCUAACUACGUG